GAAACUGCCUUGGCCUUUUGAUAGGGCAGAACUUAGGUAAGCGGGGAAGACAGAACUGAAUGCUGGGAGUAAGAAGGCAGAGUCAAGAUAAGGCAUGGAUCCUCUGCCGGGGAUGGACACUGGUUAGACUCUCCGGAAGAGCUUUGGCAACCACCAAUGAUACUGAGGGAGUGUGGAGGUGCCGGACUUGGAAAAGCCAUCCGGACGCGGACUGCAUUUGUACCAGGAUUUCUCACACUCAUAGAAAUACCUUUCGGUAUGUGUACGCGCUUGAAGGGCCCACUCCUCAGGCACUCACCGAUGUCGUCGUCAGUCCUGUCUAUGGGGUCCUUCUCCAGGCAGUCCCUCACGAUGUCCCUGCUCAUCAGGGGGUCCGAAGCCCUCUCGAUGUCUUCUUCAUCGUCGUCGUCCUCAGAAUCCACGGCCGUCUCUGGCAGUCCACUCAGGUCCAUGUCCCCAGCCUCGCUCUCCGUGGCCUUGCAUCGGACGAAAAACAGAUUUUAAAGACUCUCUUAAUUCAACCAGUCACAGGGCGCCUAAGAGGUGAGAGCUGAUUUUGUGCCAGCAGUUAUGUACUCAACUUGGAGUCCCCAAAACAAUUUUUCCAGAGGAGGGAUCACCCUGAUCAGAGCCAGGAGUCAAUGCAGCAACAUGGACCCUUUGUGUCCAAACUGCACGGUCAUCUCCACAGGUGAAUGUGGGGCCUCCUUGAUUUGGCUAAAGGUCCAUUUCUCUAUGCUGAGCUGGCUUCUUAGGGUCCUAUUGGGCGGGGGUUGCUUUCAAAGCCUUAGGCUUAAGGUGUCCGUUUGUUUAUUGGUUUGUUGGCGUGUUUGGUUCCUGACUAUUUGGUGUGUUAAUUUGAUUUAAGGAAGUGUUUCUAUUUUCCUCUUGGGGCUGUGAUAAAACACUAACCCAAAGCAACAUGGGGAGGAAAGAGUUUUUAGCUGACACCUUCAGUUCAUGGUCCAUGGUCCACCACUACAGGAAGUCAGGGCCUGAAGCAAAGACUCCAGGCAGAGCCAAGGAAGAAGGCUGCUCACGUUCCUACUUAGCCCAGAGCCAAGUGCCCUAGGAAUGGAGCUGCCUACAAUGGGCUCAGCCCUCCUCUACCCAUAAAGAACCAAGGCAAUCCCUCACAGACAGGCCCACUGCCCUGAUAAAGAUAAUUACUCGAUUGACACUCAAUUAUAGACUAUAUCAAAUUGAAGUUAAUUUUAACUAGGACAGGGAGAGAAGAAGUAUUUGGGGGAACAGAUUUUUUUUUUACUACAGCUGAUUUUAUGUUGGGUAAGUAUGUUAAUUCAAAUUGUAAAUAUUUCUAAAACAUGGAAGAAUCUAAAAGUAACUUGGGCUUUAGGUUUCCUAGGGGACAUUUACUAUCUGUAAACUGUUUCACUAUGUGCACUUAACUGUUAAUCCUAGGAAACAGAAUUUUUUCAAAUCAUAAUUAGGCAGUCUACUUUAAUUGGAAUUUAAAAACAUUUAAAAAGAAUUAAUAAACUUGGUAAUUUACAAAUUUAACAGGAGUGUAAGAAUUACAGCUAAGUUAAAAGAAGAUGUUAGAAAUAGAGGACCUGGGGAGAUGGCUCAGCAGUUACGAGCGUUUGGCUGCUCUUCCACAGAACCUGGGUUCAGUUCCCAGGAUCCACAAGGCAACUAAGAGUCAGUCCUGGGUAUCUGGUUCCCUCUUCGACUUCUGUAGGUACUGUAUGCACACACACACACACACACACACACACACACACACACACACUCACUCACUCACUCACUCUAUGGGACAUAUAAUUUAGCCUCAGUAAAAAUUAAAAUUAAGAAAGCCAUAGUUGUUAACAAUACCAGAAGACAUUGUCUUCAGUCUAUAUGACAAAUAUCACCUUUCAAUCUUUGCUGAUACAGACCCUAAAGUGUCUUCCCCACCUCCAAGUACACCUGGAUUCAUGUAACACUUAUCAUGUGAGUUUCUGAUAAUUUUUUCAUGUUUUUUUCCCUUGGGGGAGAGAGGGUCCAAAGAAGAACUUUGCAAUGAAAAUGGCCACUUCCAUUUUUUCAUUCAUUUUUUGCACACUAAAAUAAUUAUUUUUGGUAUGCUAAUUAAAAUUCCCAUAUGGAAAUUUAAGAGUUUUGAUGAUAUAUAAAAAGGCCUGAAAGAUGUAUAUCAUUAAGCUAUAAAAUUUAAGGUCAUAUAGACUUUGGUAAGAAUUUCCUUCCAAAACAGAUUCUAAAGAAAAAAAAUAAUUAAAAUUCUAUUCAUUUAUGUAAUAGCAAAUGGAUAAUGCAAGAAACAAUGGAUUUUUCCAUCCAGAAAUAUUCUUAGAAGCCAGACAUGGUGGCACAUGGCUUUAAUCCUAGCACUCAGGAAGGAGAUAGAGGCAGCUGGAGAAAUCUGACUCUGAGGCCAGCCUGGUCUACAUAUUGAGUUUCAGGUUAGCCAGGGCUACAUAGGGAAACCCUGUCUCUAAAAACAAAACAAAAAGUUGUAUGAUCUUGGAUAUCUUUCAAUAUCUACUUUUCUGCGAAACUAUGUGUGCCUGGGUAUUGUCUGCAUGAGCUCAGACUUCCACAAUCUUCACAUAGUAACAACUCGGAAAACUGAAUCUGUGUUCCCAUGCCAUGGUCACUCACAUUUAGCUCCAAAGUAAAUUAUUUUUGAGGGGAAAGGCUUUUUUAUGUGUUGAUAAUAUCAUAAGAUGAUAAUAUUGCUGCUUUUUAGUUGAGUCAGACGUAUACACCGAAUUCUGUCUGUAGACAAAUGAAUGAAACACUCAGAGUAACAAGAACCAAUUCCGUCAUCAUCCAACACUCUGCCAACUGGUGAAAACCCAGUGGUAGAGCUGCUCCCUCAACUAUGCACAGCACAGCAAAGUCUGUGAAGCAUACACAAUGCCUCAUAUAUACAACAUGCAUCCACAAUGCAUGCACAUAUAUCUACUUUAGAGCAUUUGUCUCUAAGAAUUCCAAAACGCUCCCAAGCAGAGGAGACUGAGGAGUCCUCCUUACCUGGUAAAUAUCAGAAAGACUGCUGCUGCCAGAGUCACUGGUGAUGCUACAUCCUGAAUGGCUGGAGGACACGUGGGUCACCUGGGGGUGGAGGCUGUCAGUGAGGUGGAGCUUUGUGAAAUCUGCAGGGAGCUACGGAAGCAGCAGAAGAAAAAAAAAUGGGCUUACAAUUUGAAUUGAGAACUUCAAGAAGACACUUAAAACUAUGAUGCUGUGCCCACUGCAAAGCACUGAGCAUCAGGAAAGACAUCCAUCCACAGAUUCAAAACUAGUCAAUAUUGUCCUAUUAACCAAAUUCACAAAAUGUUAAAAGUGUAAGAGCAUACAAUGAACCUUAAUAGUACUAAACUAGAUGUCUAAAUAGGUGGGUUAAGCGAUUAAGACACAUGGAUGAACAUUUAAUUUGGUAAAGAACAAUUUUCAAGUAACAAAUAAAUGAACAAAUUACCCUAGCUCUGUUUGUUAGCAAUUGCCAACCAAUGCAACUUUGUAACAAGUUUAGAUAGCUAGCCAAGGAAACAGACUUCUGGUUCAUUCAUGCUCAAAUAAUAUUUAAAACUAUUUUUUUUUUAAAGCAAGCAUCCUGGAAGCACUGAACCGUGUUGCCACUUACUAGGUUAUAUGAAAAGAGACAAAACACCUAAGAACUUGACAUUUAAGGUCUACAGACAACAUUAACUUGUCUGCAUACACCCCCUCCUCCUUGUUUACACUCUAGUUUAUAUGCACCAUCCCAAUAGUAAUGCAUUAGAAAACAUACGCUAGUUGGAAUGGUAAGACACCAACAUACUGAUCUUAUUUAGCUAGUAAAAUCUAGUAAGGGCUUGCCUUAGAAAUCUUAUUGAUCUUGAAGAUCUAUAAGAGUCACUCCUUAUACCCUCGUCCCCUCUUCAAAAAUGUAGUGCUACCACAUAGUUAUAAUAAGACUUCCAAGGGGAUGCUUGGCUUUGAUCCAUAAACUUUGAUGCCUUACGAAAAAUGGAUUUCCACCCUACAUUCACUCAGACCUGCCUAGAUGCCAACUCUCUAUCCUACGUAUACAUGUUUCCCAGUAGUUAUAAGUCUGUUACUAAAUACAGUCAACUUUAUGACACACAAAGUACAUAAGUCUUAAACACGAAUUUAUUCUACAGUGUGCAAUUAGAUGGCAAAUAGAUAAAAAACCCCUAUGUUCACAGAUAUCAGAGAAGUGGCCGGUAAAAGUGCCGCAAACAUUACCUAUCUCACACGUGUGCUCACGGAAGGUGCUGUGAGAUACAUACAACUUAGGAGAAUAGCAACUUCUCCAUAGGUACUAGACAGGUGUAUCAGCACACAUACAUUCAGAAUCUAUGCCUGUAAACUACAAAAUAAGUAACCGAAACUGAGUGAUUAUCACUCAUAAAUAUGCCUGAGAUUGACAUGUGCCACAUGGAAUUUUUUAAAUUAAAUAUGUUGAAUGAAGUUGCAAGUACCUACUGAA